GUAGGUGAACCUGCGGAAGGAUCAUUACUGAAGAACACUCUUCAUACACCUGUGAAUCGUAGCUUCGGCUUACACAAACACUAUUGUCGUCGUGAAUGUCUAGUUAUCAUAACAAACAUAACUUUCAACAACGGAUCUCUUGGCUCUC
rnacentral:misc_RNA from 1 species